rnacentral:rRNA from 1 species
AGCGAACGCUGGCGGCAGGCCUAACACAUGCAAGUCGAACGAACCUUUCGGGGUUAGUGGGGGACGGGUGAGUAACACGUGGGAACGUGCCUUUAGGUUCGGAAUAACUCAGGGAAACUUGUGCUAAUACCGAAUGUGCCCUUCGGGGGAAAGAUUUAUCGCCUUUAGAGCGGCCCGCGUCUGAUUAGCUAGUUGGUUGAGGUAAUGGCUCACCAAGGCGACGAUCAGUAGCUGGUCUGAGAGGAUGAUCAGCCACAUUGGGACUGAGACACGGCCCAAACUCCUACGGGAGGCAGCAGUGGGGAAUCUUGCGCAAUGGGCGAAAGCCUGACGCAGCCAUGCCGCGUGAAUGAUGAAGGUCUUAGGAUUGUAAAAUUCUUUCACCGGGGACGAUAAUGACGGUACCCGGAGAAGAAGCCCCGGCUAACUUCGUG